rnacentral:rRNA from 1 species
ACGCUAGCUACAGGCUUAACACAUGCAAGUCGAGGGGCAGCAUGGUCUUAGCUUGCUAAGGCCGAUGGCGACCGGCGCACGGGUGAGUAACACGUAUCCAACCUGCCGUCUACUCUUGGACAGCCUUCUGAAAGGAAGAUUAAUACAAGAUGGCAUCAUGAGUCCGCAUGUUCACAUGAUUAAAGGUAUUCCGGUAGACGAUGGGGAUGCGUUCCAUUAGAUAGUAGGCGGGGUAACGGCCCACCUAGUCUUCGAUGGAUAGGGGUUCUGAGAGGAAGGUCCCCCACAUUGGAACUGAGACACGGUCCAAACUCCUACGGGAGGCAGCAGUGAGGAAUAUUGGUCAAUGGGCGAGAGCCUGAACCAGCCAAGUAGCGUGAAGGAUGACUGCCCUAUGGGUUGUAAACUUCUUUUAUAAAGGAAUAAAGUCGGGUAUGCAUACCCGUUUGCAUGUACUUUAUGAAUAAGGAUCGGCUAACUCCGUGCCAGCAGCCGCGGUAAUACGGAGGAUCCGAGCGUUAUCCGGAUUUAUUGGGUUUAAAGGGAGCGUAGAUGGAUGUUUAAGUCAGUUGUGAAAGUUUGCGGCUCAACCGUAAAAUUGCAGUUGAUACUGGAUAUCUUGAGUGCAGUUGAGGCAGGCGGAAUUCGUGGUGUAGCGGUGAAAUGCUUAGAUAUCACGAAAAACUCCGAUUGCGAAGGCAGCCUGCUAAGCUGCAACUGACAUUGAGGCUCGAAAGUGUGGGUAUCAAACAGGAUUAGAUACCCUGGUAGUCCACACGGUAAACGAUGAAUACUCGCUGUUUGCGAUAUACAGCAAGCGGCCAAGCGAAAGCGUUAAGUAUUCCACCUGGGGAGUACGCCGGCAACGGUGAAACUCAAAGGAAUUGACGGGGGCCCGCACAAGCGGAGGAACAUGUGGUUUAAUUCGAUGAUACGCGAGGAACCUUACCCGGGCUUAAAUUGCAGAUGAAUUACGGUGAAAGCCGUAAGCCGCAAGGCAUCUGUGAAGGUGCUGCAUGGUUGUCGUCAGCUCGUGCCGUGAGGUGUCGGCUUAAGUGCCAUAACGAGCGCAACCCUUGUUGUCAGUUACUAACAGGUUCCGCUGAGGACUCUGACAAGACUGCCAUCGUAAGAUGUGAGGAAGGUGGGGAUGACGUCAAAUCAGCACGGCCCUUACGUCCGGGGCUACACACGUGUUACAAUGGGGGGGUACAGAGGGCCGCUACCACGCGAGUGGAUGCCAAUCCCAAAAACCUCUCUCAGUUCGGACUGGAGUCUGCAACCCGACUCCACGAAGCUGGAUUCGCUAGUAAUCGCGCAUCAGCCACGGCGCGGUGAAUACGUUCCCGGGCCUUGUACACACCGCCCGUCAAGCCAUGGGAGCCGGGGGUACCUGAAGUGCGUAACCGCGAGGAGCGCCCUAGGGUAAAACUGGUGACUGGGGCUAA